rnacentral:rRNA from 1 species
CGAACGGGUGAGUAACGCGUGAGGAACCUGCCUCAAAGAAGGGGGACGAACAGUUGGAAACGAACUGCUAAUACCGCAUAAGCCCACGGGUCGGCAUCGACCAGAGGGAAAAGGAGCAAUCCGCUUUGAGAUGGCCUCGCGUCCGAUUAGCUAGUUGGUGAGGUAAUGGCCCACCAAGGCAACGAUCGGUAGCCGGACUGAGAGGUUGAACGGCCACAUUGGGACUGAGACACGGCCCAGACUCCUACGGGAGGCAGCAUG